UACAGAGGUCCCGAGCGUUGUUCGGAUUCAUUGGGCGUAAAGGGUGUGUAGGAGGUCAGCUAAGUCAGGUGUGAAAUCCUGCCGCUCAACGGCAGAACUGCACUUGAUACUGGUUGGCUAGAGGACUGGAGAGGAGAUCGGAAUUCUCGGUGUAGCAGUGAAAUGCGUAGAUAUCGAGAGGAACACCGGUGGCGAAGGCGGAUCUCUGGAAAGUUCCUGACUCUGAAACACGAAAGCUAGGGUAGCAAACGGG
rnacentral:rRNA from 1 species